UACAGAGGUCUCAAGCGUUGUUCGGAUUCAUUGGGCGUAAAGGGUGCGUAGGCGGCUUGUCGCGUCGACUGUGAAAUCUCAGGGCUCAACUCUGGCAUUGCAGUCGAUACGGGCAGGCUAGAGUUCGGUAGGGGAGACUGGAAUUCCUGGUGUAGCGGUGAAAUGCGCAGAUAUCAGGAGGAACACCGGUGGCGAAGGCGGGUCUCUGGGCCGAUACUGACGCUGAGGAGCGAAAGCGUGGGGAGCGAACAGG
rnacentral:rRNA from 1 species